CAAAAACAUCGCCUCCUGCAACACAACCAAGUAUAGGAGGUCCAGCCUGCCCAGUGACUACAAGUUCAACGGCCGCGGUAUUUUGACCGUGCAAAGGUAGCGCAAUCACUUGUCUCUUAAAUGGAGACCUGUAUGAAUGGCUAAACGAGGGCUUAACUGUCUCCCCCCUCCAGUCAGUGAAAUUGAUCUAUCCGUGCAGAAGCGGGUAUAAUAAUACAAGACGAGAAGACCCUUUGGAGCUUAAGGUACAAGAAUCAGCCACGUCAAGCAACUUAAUAAAGAGCAAAAACUUUGUGGACAAUGAUUUUUUACCUUCGGUUGGGGCGACCACGGAGGAAAAAAGAGCCUCCAGGUGGACUGGGAAAACAUCCUAAAGCUAAGAGAGACAUCUCUAGGCCGCAGAACAUCUGACCAAUCAUGAUCCGGCUGACAAAGCCGAUCAACGAACCAAGUUACCCUAGGAAUAACAGCGCAAUCCUCUCCCAGAGUCCAUAUCGACGAGGGGGUUUACGACCUCGAU
rnacentral:rRNA from 1 species